rnacentral:rRNA from 1 species
UACGUAGGUGGCAAGCGUUGUCCGGAUUUAUUGGGCGUAAAGGGGGCGCAGGUGGUUUCUUAAGUCUGAUGUGAGAGCCCACGGCUUAACCGUGGAGGGUCAUUGGAAACUGGAAGACUUGAGUGCGAGAGAGAAGAGUGGAAUUCCAUGUGUAGCGGUGAAAUGCGUAGAGAUAUGGAGGAACACCAGUGGCGAAAGCGGCUCUUUGGCUCGCAACUGACGCUGAGGCGCGAAAGCGUGGGGAGCAAACAGG